CCCAUUUCCCUCCUCCAACCUAACUCCUGAACAUGCUCCAAAUAACCCACCUGCUACUUUUAUGCAAAAGCCUCCCACCAUAGACUUAACCACCCCUAACCCACACCACAACUCUUCCUACCCAGCAUCACUUUUCUUUCAUACAUCUUACAUACACCGUACUCCACCUCCCCAACCCACCAAUAAAAUCCAAAAUCCCAAAACAAACCCAUAAUAAUACAAUACAUCAGGAAGCCCACCCCAAUUGCCAAAAGAGCUCCAGCCAACAACGCAUACAUACACCGCGUACAAUAUAUACGCGCCCAGUACAUAUGCCCAUACCUUGUCGUCUUCUUCUUUAUCCUCGACAACAGUACAUCCAAAGACAACGGCUACUGCAUUUUUUCCUUCAACGCAUGAAGAUUUCACCAAGUAAUGAUUCCAAGGACACGUGAAUCAAUCUCGGCCAUCCAUGAUUCUUGUUUCAUCCAAAUUUGUUGAAGAGUUUUGGCAUUUUUUUUGGAGAAAUUAGGGUAUAUUCCUUAUCUGAUGGAAGGAAUUUGAAUUUUAAAUUUUAAAAUUUUAUCUAAAUCCUUCAAUUUCAUCCAAAAAUCCUUCUCCCCCCCCCCAUUUUUGACCCUAAACUCCUUUCUACAAAAGGUUUCCUCUUCAAUCUUUCGUAUGGGGUUGGGAUUAUUCUUUAAGGAAGAAAAUACAUGUUCGACUAAAAGGGUUAGAAAUUUUUACCAAAAAGAUACAAAUCCCUAAAGUAGUUAAUAAUUUUUUGUCAAGAAUCGAAGGGUGUUUGUUCGGAGAAGACCAGUAAAAUGUGGGAUUUCCAUUCAUUUUCUUUUUGAGUUAGCUCCAGUGGCUCUCUACUUGUGGUGGUGAAGAAGCUUCAGCUCGCUCAUCCCAGUUCCUGCUCCUAAGAAGGGAUGAACGACACUCAUGAUCAUCAUGUUUGUGGAUAGAGAUUGCCCUAUAUUCUCAAGGAGUUAGUGAGUCCUUAUUCUAUCGAGGACAUGUUUUAUUCAUAUUUCUACUAUUUUGACUUCUUCUUUUGUUAGGGUGAGCUAGGAACUUGUCCUAAGCCCCUAUCAAAAACUAGAUUAGAGGCAUGUUUAUAUGAUUUAUGAUGUAGUCCAGAUUGGACAUCUUUUGAGUUGUUAUCCCUUAGUCCCAUCCCUUUUGAGUUGAUUACUUUCGCUUAACAUUUUCAUAUUCUUUACCUUAUGUAUGUGAUUUAUGAUAAGAUGGCUUAUGUUUGGGGUC